AUUGAACGCUGGCGGCAGGCCUAACACAUGCAAGUCGAACGGAGCGGCGGACGGGUACGUAUUGCCAAGGAAUCUGACUGGUAGUAGUGGAUAAGGUCAGGAAACGGACGCUAAUACCACAUACUACCCGAUGAGCCUGGGUCGGAUUAGCUAGUUGGUGUGGUAAAGGCGUACCAAGGCGACGAUCCGUAACUGGGCUGAGAGGAUGACCAGUCACACUGGAACUGAGACACGGGCCAGACUCCUACGGGAGGCAGCAGUGGGGAAUUUUGGACAAUGGGGGAAAGCCUGAUCCAGCCAUGCCGCGUGUGUGAAGAAGGCCUUCGGGUUGUAAAGCACUUUAAGUUGGGAGGCGGUACCAGCAGAAUAAGCACCGGCUAACUACGUGCCAGCAGCCGCGGUAAUAC
rnacentral:rRNA from 1 species